AACGAACGCUGGCGGCAUGCCUAACACAUGCAAGUCGAACGAGACCUUCGGGUCUAGUGGCGCACGGGUGCGUAACGCGUGGGAACCUGCCCUUAGGUUCGGAAUAACUCCCCGAAAGGGGUGCUAAUACCGGAUAAUGUCUUCGGACCAAAGAUUUAUCGCCUUUGGAUGGGCCCGCGUUGGAUUAGCUAGUUGGUAGGGUAAAAGCCUACCAAGGCGACGAUCCAUAGCUGGUCUGAGAGGAUGAUCAGCCACAAUGGGACUGAGACACGGCCCAGACUCCUACGGGAGGCAGCAGUGGGGAAUAUUGGAAAAUGGGCGAAAGCCUGAACCAGCAAUGCCGCGUGAGUGAUGAAGGCCUUAGGGUUGUAAAGCUAUUUUAACCGGGAUGAUAAUGACAGUACCGGGAGAAUAAGCUCCGGCUAACUCCGUG
rnacentral:rRNA from 1 species